rnacentral:rRNA from 1 species
UACGGAGGGUGCAAGCGUUGUUCGGAAUCACUGGGCGUAAAGGGCGUGUAGGCGGUCCGCUAAGUCUGAUGUGAAAGCCCGGGGCUCACCCCCGGAAGGGCAUUGGAAACUGGCGGACUCGAGUCCCGGAGAGGAAGGUGGAAUUCCUGGUGUAGCGGUGGAAUGCGCAGAUAUCAGAUAGAACACCAAUGGCGAAGGCAGUUGCCUGGCUCAAAACUGACGCUAAAGCACGAAAGUGUGGGGAGCAAACAGG